CAAAAAUACAUAAGUGGCCUCCAGUGCUUUGUUUGGUUAGAGUCUAGCAAAGAGAUAUGAGCAUAAAGACCUGAGGAGCAGCAGGCAACAUCACCAUUCCUAGGAUGGCUCUGGCCAUCCCUUGCCAAAUUAAUUUCUAUUUGCUUAGGAUCAUCAAGUGAGAGUCAAAUCCUUCUUUACCCUGAUAUUGAAAAUAAUGGAGACAGGAUCAACUGUUCCAUAGGCUAAGGUGGUGAGAGAGUUCUGAAGAGAACCUGUGCCUGCAUUUGAGGUGAUACUGAGGGGAAGGAGACAAAGUCAGAAGGAUGUUGAUUCUGAAAAAGCUUUGAAGGUCUCUCAGCACAUCAAAAUACCAGUAUAGGGUAUCAAUUUCUG
ensembl:lncRNA